UCCCCUAGUAACUGCGAGUGAAGCGGGAAAAGCUCAAAUUUAAAAUCUGGCAGAUGUUUGUCUGUCCGAGUUGUAACCUAGAGAAGUGUAACCUGUGCUGGACCGUGUACAAGUCUCCUGGAAUGGAGCAUCAUAGAGGGUGAGAAUCCCGUCUUUGACAUGGACUACCAGUGCACUGUGGUUGCACACUCAACGAGUCGAGUUGUUUGGGAAUGCAGCUCUAAAUGGGUGGUAAAUUCCAUCUAAAGCUAAAUAUUGGCGAGAGACCGAUAGCGAACAAGUACCGUGAGGGAAAGAUGAAAAGAACUUUGGAAAGAGAGUUAAACAGUAUGUGAAAUUGUUGAAAGGGAAACGCUUGAAGUCAGCUGCAUUAGCUGGGGAUCAAGCCAGCUUUUUUGCUGGGUGUACUUCCUGGUUGAUGGGCCAACAUCAGUUUUGACCAUCAGAGAAAGGCUAAGGGAAUGUGGCACCUUUAUAGGUGUGUUAUAGCCCUUGGUUGUAUGUGAUGGUNGGGACUGAGGACAGCAGCGUGCCGCAAGGCU
rnacentral:rRNA from 1 species